AAGAUAACACAGGGAGCGAAGAUAACACAAGUAAGAUAACACAGGGGAGCGAAGAUAACACAAGUAAGAUAACACAGGGAGUAAAGAUAACACAGCAAAGAUAACACAGGGAGUGAAGAUAACACAGGGAGCAAAGAUAACACAGGGAGCGAAGAUAACACAGGGAGUGAAGAUAACACAAGUAAGAUAACACAGGGAGUGAAGAUAACACAGGGAGCAAAGAUAACACAGGGAGCGAAGAUAACACAAGUAAGAUAACACAGGGAGCAAAGAAGAUAACACAAUGAAGAUAACACAGGGAGCAAAGAUAACACAGGGAGCGAAGAUAACACAGCAAAGAUAACACGGAGUGAAGAUAACACAAGUAAGAUAACACAGGGAGUGAAGAUAACACAAGUAAGAUAACACAGGGAGUGAAGAUAACACAAAGUGAUCGUAGGUCUUCGAUGGUCGUAAGUCUAUGUUAUUGCAUAGGAGUUAGGAUAGUCGUAGCACUACGAUCGCUUUGUAAAACGGUGCCCUGAACACAAUUAGAAUAUGAAUUAUUACGUGUAUAAGUGUAUCAUAAAUGGUAUCAUUUCUGUUGAUUCUCAAUGCAAUGUAUAUCUGGGACGUGUUUCAUGAAGUGAAUCGUAGGUCUUCGAUGGUCGUAAGUCUAUGUUAUUGCAUAGGAGUAAGGAAAGUCGUAGCACUAUGAUUGCUUUGUAAAACAGUGCCCUGAACACAAUUAGAAUGUGAAUUAUUACAUGUACAUAAGUGUAUCAUAUAUGGUAUCAUGUCUGUAGAUUCUCAAUGCAAUGAAACUUGUGUUUAAACGGCCAUAGUUUAACGUGUUUGGCCUUGACUGGGAAUACAACAGGGGAGAGUACACUUUACGACAAAUAACACUACUACCAGAACGAUUAUUGUCAGCGCUCAUUAAACUGGCUACACCCAGUUAACAUAUUUCCGUAUUUUUUUUUCCUUUUUUGUGAGUGAUGAUAUGACCAAUGACUUUCCUGUUUGUGCCCAACGUGUUGUCUUGGUGUUGAUCCUGGAGGAUGUUCAUGGAGAUGUCGCCGUCUUCCAUAUUGCUUCAUUACGACACAGUAAAUGUGCUGCUGCUAGUGUUGUCCUGUGUCCCUGUGUGACGUUACUGUGUAUUACUGGGUACUGGCCGAAACCAGAGAGAGGCGGAUGCCAUCUUGACCCUUGAAAACACUACAUGAAAGAUAUUCCCCUGAGACGGUCUAACCCGACAAUAUGUACAACGUACAGCCAAUAUGCAGACAUCAGACAAGUCAGUAGUGUUUCUCACUAUUAAAGGCCGUCAAAUCUUAUGAUUAAAGGCGGCUCAUCAUAUCAUUAAGCACAUUAGAUGAAACACCGAGAACAAGUAGGGCUGCUCUAAGUUAACACUCAUCACGUACUGCACAUGCAUUUGUUUCACUGUUCCAUCUACUGCG
rnacentral:lncRNA from 1 species